UCUAACAGACCAAACAGUCAGCCAGAUUCCUCUCAUCAGAGAGGCAGUUGUCUAUUGGUUUUGGACAGAAAGACACCAGGGGACAGUCCCUCUGCAUUCAUGAAGACACCAAGUGUUUUGUCGACUAAUUGGAGAAAAGAUGCCUCAAGGGAUAGAAGCUUGGCACACUGGCUUGUCUGACUUAACCAUCUAAUGAGCUAAUAACAGUUUGGAGAAGAUGAACUUCUGACAAGCAUAAAGGAACUUUGUCUAAAUGUUUAUAAAUCUUUGAUUAAUUCA